rnacentral:lncRNA from 1 species
GUGUCUCCAUUGGUAUUUUGCUAACAACAUCAGGAAAUUAUGAAUUGUUAAAGCAAAAAAUCAUUUGUUAUUAAGAUACCUUUUACUUUUUCCAUUAUUUCUAGUCCAAUUUCAGAGCUAACUAGAAAAGCUGAGCAAAGAAUGAAUUAUGUGUAGUCCCUAUAUACUAUUUGAAACCUCUAAUCCCAUGUGAGUUAUACCACUGAAGAUAUGCAAAGCAGAUGUUUUAGCAAAUAUUAUCAUUUUAGAUGUGAGCAAAUUUUGUUGAGCACUACUGAAAUUUUCAGUCCUAAUCUGCCAUUACUCACAGGAAAGGGACAAGUUCUUCUUGUUUCUGCCAGGUGCACCAGGAUCAGUGUGCAGCAGCUCAGCAAAGGCAAAUAGGCAACCUUGUCUCUACCUGUUAAAAGAAUACAGCAUGAAGUGAACAGGAACACAGUAAACACUUCAUUGCAAUCCACGUAGGUGCACCCUUGCUUAUGGAUGCUGAUUUUUCUGCUGCAUCAAUUAUUGCUUGAAAUUGCAUCUUCAGUCCUUAACCUUGUGAAAUGAGAUUGUUACAGGAAAGUGAAGCAGAUGCUUGAACAAGAGGAUAGCUUCUCUACUGCCUUCCCUCUCCUCUCCAGCAUGGAGAGCACUGGAGGCUGCCCUCUGUGAUGACCACCUGUGCUCCCUGUGUAAUUUGCAUACUUAGUAUCAUUAAGCCUGAUGGAGUUGUUAUUACUGGGUGUAUGGGAACUGCUGAGUCAUGGCCUGAACCACUGAUUGAGCACCUAGAGGAAAGACCCAGUCAGCCCUGGGAGAAUUCACCUGUGCGACCAGAAGGCAUCAUUUAAGGGCUGACUGGAGUUCCCUCCUUGGUGGGAGCCUUUCCCUGUGAGCCCAAAAUCUUCUGAUCUGGGUGAGUGCUCUAUUUUCCUUGCACUUUUUUUGUAAUGCUAUUUCCAUCGCAUUAGUCCUCCUGCUUGCUACACUGGGUCAUUUUGCAAGCAUUUUACAUCCUGCACGUGAUACUUAUAUAUAUGUAUGUAUA